UGCCAAACCCGGGAUCGAGGGACCUUUGAUCUUCAGUCUAACGCUCUCCCAUCUGAGCUAUUUCGGC